GGCAGAAGAAUAAAACAGUCUGUUUUGAUAGAGGAACAACAGGCAAUGGAUCCCAAAGGUUGGCGUGUGGAGCUAAACGAUGGUCACUUCAUUCCUGUCCUAGGAUUUGGCACCUUUGAAGGUGAAAAGGUUCCUAAAAGCAAACCUACGGAGGACAUUAAAUUAGGUAUAGAUGCUGGGUUCAGACAUAUCGAUUGUGCGCAUUCAUACAGUAAUGAAAAGGAGAUUGGACUGGGUAUCCGAAGCAAAAUUGAAGAUGGCACUGUGAAGAGAGAAGAUUUAUUCUGCAGUACAAAGCUUUGGUCCACUUUCCUUCGACCAGAGUUGGUCCAACCAGCCUUGGAAAACUCUCUGAAAAAUCUUCAACUGGACUAUGUUGAUCAGUAUAUUAUUCAUUAUCCAGUGGCUCUGAAGCCAGGGGAGGAACUUUUUCCAGAAGAUGAACAUGGAAAACUGAUAUUUGACACAGUGGAUCUCUGUGCCACAUGGGAGGCCAUGGAGAAGUGUAAGGAUGCAGGAUUGACCAAGUCCAUUGGCGUGUCCAACUUUAAUCGCAGGCAGCUGGAGAUGAUCCUGAACAAGCCAGGGCUCAAGUAUAAGCCUGUCUGCAAUCAGGUGGAAUGUCAUCCUUAUCUCAACCAGAGGAAACUGUUGGAUUUCUGCAAAUCCAAAGAUAUUGUCCUAGUUGCCUAUUGUGCUUUGGGAAGCCAACGUCCAAAACAAUGGGUUGACCAGAGCAGCCCGGUUCUCUUGGAAGAUCCAGUUCUUUGUGCCAUGGCAAAAAAGUACGAACGAUCUCCAGCACUGAUUGCCCUUCGCUACCAGCUACAGCGUGGGGUUGUGGUUCUGGCCAAGUGUAUCAAUGAGAAGCAGAUGAAAGAGAACAUGCAGGUUUUUGAAUUCCAGUUGACUUCAGAGGACAUGAAAGUCCUAGAUGGCCUAAACCAAAAUCUUCGAUAUGCUUCUAUUAAAAUUUUUGCUGACCACCCUGAGUAUCCAUUUUCUGAUGAAUAUUAAUAUGGAGGCCUUUGUCCUGACUUCUACCAGAAGCUCUGCAUGUGGAUAUUGAGGUGGGAACUGUCUCGGAUGUUGGUGAUCACACACAUCUGCAUGGGUUCCAUCCAUGCUGCUUAGCAGCUCAUACUCAGCUAGCCUUAAGUGCUUAGAGUUCACAGCAACCAAAUCGGGUGAAUAAAGAAGAUCAUUUCUCUGGCAGGAGCAAGAGCCUCAGGAUAAGUUGAAGACCUCGAAAAGAGAGGAAUUCACCCAAAUCUAAUGAAAGAACAAAUUUCUUACAAGUUCUAGUGCAGACUGGAAAUUCUCAAAGUUCCUUUUUAAGUCAAAAGAAAUACUUUAAUUUGGGGGCCUAAUUUUGGUAGACACUUCCUACGUUCUAAAGAUGUCCAAAAGACCUGGAGGGAAUUCUGAAUGGACAAAUGAACCUCUAUUAGACCACAAGUUGCUGUUCAUAAGUCUCCUAAAGAUAAGUAACAAGUGGCUCCUUGGUUCUUACCUUACUUGCUGGACUAUUAGACAGCAGGCUACUUGGCUACGUCCUAUUUCAGCUGAGGUUCUAGGUAAUAACCUUGAUUGGUUCACAGGCCUCUUGUCCUGGAUUCCCCAAAGAUGAAGGUCUAUUAUGGAGAAGAUACUCAAAUUUUGGCUGUGCAUUUUGUUAAUCUUUGUUGUCACCUGUAUAAUCAUAAUAUGUGGGCAUAAGUGUUGUUCCAAAGCCAUCAUCAGAGGAGUAAAAUUUUAGUCAUGCAAAGCAUAUCUCACUCUCCCAAAUGGAACCCAAAAGUAUUUAAAAAUAAAUGUGAAAGAAUUUCAUUACUCUUACCCUGAUCUUCACCCUUUUAGAGCAGGAAGUAGUUAGCAUGGUUUUCACCCAGAUUCCCUGAAAUUGACGAAUGAGUAUAAGACAGUGGGGAUUUAAACUGAGAAGGAAGGAACUAAAAUCUUCCCUAGAGUGAAACCUUUGAGAUGAGCUUUGUUAACAGAGGCUGAGAAUACUCAGUAUAAUCAACUGUUGUUUAGAACUAACCAGGUAUUUCUGUCU